rnacentral:rRNA from 1 species
UGCUCCUCGGGUGACGAGUGGCGGACGGGUGAGUAAUGUCUGGGGAUCUGCCCGAUAGAGGGGGAUAACCACUGGAAACGGUGGCUAAUACCGCAUAACGUCGCAAGACCAAAGAGGGGGACCUUCGGGCCUCUCACUAUCGGAUGAACCCAGAUGGGAUUAGCUAGUAGGCGGGGUAACGGCCCACCUAGGCGACGAUCCCUAGCUGGUCUGAGAGGAUGACCAGCCACACUGGAACUGAGACACGGUCCAGACUCCUACGGGAGGCAGCAGUGGGGAAUAUUGCACAAUGGGCGCAAGCCUGAUGCAGCCAUGCCGCGUGUAUGAAGAAGGCCUUCGGGUUGUAAAGUACUUUCAGCGGGGAGGAAGGCAAUGAGGUUAAUAACCUUACUGAUUGACGUUACCCGCAGAAGAAGCACCGGCUAACUCCGUGCCAGCAGCCGCGGUAAUACGGAGGGUGCAAGCGUUAAUCGGAAUUACUGGGCGUAAAGCGCACGCAGGCGGUCUGUUAAGUCAGAUGUGAAAUCCCCGGGCUUAACCUGGGAACUGCAUUUGAAACUGGCAGGCUUGAGUCUCGUAGAGGGGGGUAGAAUUCCAGGUGUAGCGGUGAAAUGCGUAGAGAUCUGGAGGAAUACCGGUGGCGAAGGCGGCCCCCUGGACGAAGACUGACGCUCAGGUGCGAAAGCGUGG